CCCCGAGGCUCCACCUUCCUGAGAGAUGUACCAUAUAAAGUGUUCUUGUAUGAUAACCACCAAAAUCUGGUCUAAAUCAUCUUAUUCCUAAUGAGGGAAGGAAUAUACUGAAGCCUGAGAAAGUCUGAGAAAACUUCCUAUAUAAAGAGGAAGGGUGUGUGGGUGUGGGUGUGUGUGUACGCAGACAAUAGGAAGCCACUGAUGUUUUUUGCACAAAGGAACAGCAGGAAUGAAAAAAUGUUUUAAGAAGAUUAUCUAGCAGUGGUAUACAAAUUCACUGAAAUGGUGUACAGAUUAAAGUAAAAAUUAUUUCAAAUCAUUAUGCAGCCAUGAACAAUUACUACACAUAAUUGCAUUUACAGAUGUGGGAGAGCGAACAUACAGAUGAAGUACAAAAGAAGCAGGCUACAAAACAAGGGAGAGGACAGAAUCAUCUUCCGUAAGAAAUUGUUCACAUUUUUACUUGUGGGAGUAUUUAGAUGUGUAGCUACCAGAGUAAAGUUUAGGAGAUUAAAUAUCAGAGCUGUAACAGGAAUGCUAUCUGAGUGGUGAAACGUGAUUUUUCUCUUCUUUCUGUCUCUUUGUUUAUAUCUGUAUUUUCUAAUUUUUAUUCCACCAUGAAUAUGAGCCACUUGGGUAAUUUUUGUAAAUCUCCUCCCAAGAAGUAAAGAGCCCAUUUAUUGAUAUUAAAGAGGACAGGAAGCGGUGGUGAGGAUCUGGCCGCUGGCAGUGGCAGUGAGAGUGGAAAAUAGGAAGCAGAGUUGAGAGCAAUUAUGGCGGAAGUGCUGACGGAAGCGGGUGGGUGACUGGGAGAGGAACUGAAGGGAAACCAGAAAUCUGGGUGACACCCCUGGAUUUCCAGCCUAAGUAAGCAGGCGCCAUGGCUAGAAAUGAGACGGUGUGGAUGGCACUUAGCUUGGAGGAGAUCAUUUCCUCUUAGACCUGGUGUGUUUGAGAUGGUGACAGUCAUCCAAGAGAGACUGAAGUCAAGGGAAAGGCUGGGGCUCCAGGAGGUAGGUGCCCAGCUGUCCCGUCAGCAUUCCGCUCCCAGUGCCUAGAUCAACCAACGCCCAGUGCACAGAAGGCCUAUGACGCAUGUCUGGGAAGUGGGGGACCCGAGCCCUCUGUGGUGACAGCUCAAGUCGAUGAGAGGUUGGAACACCCAAGGGGGAGAAUGAGACAAGCAGGCCUGAAACUUGGGAAACACUUCACUGAAGUGUGGGCGGGAGCAAAACAGAUGCAAAACAAGAACAAUGCAACCUUCCUGAAACCAAGGUCGGGGGAGGGUUGCAAAAUAGAAAAGAGGAC
rnacentral:lncRNA from 1 species